UGAACGCUGGCGGCAGGCCUAACACAUGCAAGUCGAGCGGAUGAGGGGAGCUUGCUCCUGGAUUCAGCGGCGGACGGGUGAGUAAUGCCUAGGAAUCUGCCUGGUAGUGGGGGAUAACGUCCGGAAACGGGCGCUAAUACCGCAUACGUCCUGAGGGAGAAAGUGGGGGAUCUUCGGACCUCACGCUAUCAGAUGAGCCUAGGUCGGAUUAGCUAGUUGGUGGGGUAAAGGCCUACCAAGGCGACGAUCCGUAACUGGUCUGAGAGGAUGAUCAGUCACACUGGAACUGAGACACGGUCCAGACUCCUACGGGAGGCAGCAGUGGGGAAUAUUGGACAAUGGGCGAAAGCCUGAUCCAGCCAUGCCGCGUGUGUGAAGAAGGUCUUCGGAUUGUAAAGCACUUUAAGUUGGGAGGAAGGGCAGUAAGUUAAUACCUUGCUGUUUUGACGUUACCAACAGAAUAAGCACCGGCUAACUUCGUG
rnacentral:rRNA from 1 species